CCUACGGGUGGCAGCAGUAGGGAAUUUUCGGCAAUGGGGGGAACCCUGACCGAGCAACGCCGCGUGAACGAAGAAGUUAUUCGUAAUGUAAAGUUCUUUUAACAGGGAAGAAAGAGAAAUUUGAUGGUACCUGAAGAAUAAGCUCCGGCUAACUACGUGCCAGCAGCCGCGGUAAUACGUAGGGAGCGAGCGGUAUCCGGAAUUAUUGGGCGUAAAGGGUGCGUAGAUGGCAUAGUAAGUCUGUGGUAAAAGUGCGGGGCUCAACCCAGUAGGGCAAGAGAUACUGCGAAGCGAGAGUAUGGCAGAGGGAAGUGGAAGGAGAGGUGUAGGGGUGAAAUGCGUAGAUAUAGGGAAG
rnacentral:rRNA from 1 species